UCUCCACCCCGUAGGAACUACGAGAUCACCCCAAGGACGCCUUCUGACCCGAGUAGCACGGGGCACGUGGAAUCCCG
rnacentral:tRNA from 1 species